CACGUAGGGGGCAAGCGUUGUCCGGAUUUACUGGGCGUAAAGAGCGCGCAGGCGGUCGUUCAAGUCGCGUGUGAAAGCCCCCGGCUCAACUGGGGAGGGUCACGCGAUACUGAUCGACUCGAAGGCAGGAGAGGGUAGUGGAAUUCCCGGUGUAGUGGUGAAAUGCGUAGAUAUCGGGAGGAACACCAGUGGCGAAGGCGACUACCUGGCUGUUCUUGACGCUGAGGCGCGAAAGCUAGGGGAGCGAACGAGG
rnacentral:rRNA from 1 species